rnacentral:ncRNA from 1 species
GUUUUGGUCCUAAACUUGCCAUUGUUUUUAAUCAAGAUUACACAUGCAAGCUUCAACACACCAGUGAGAAUGCCCACAACCCCUAAACAGCCCAAAGGAGCGGGCAUCAGGCUCACUACAUCAUACAAGCCGAAAACGCCUUGCUACGCCACACCCACACGGGUACUCAGCAGUGAUAAACCUUAACCCAUGAGCGAAAGCUCGACUUAGCUAUGAUUGAUUCUGGUCGGUAAAUUUCGUGCCAGCCACCGCGGUUAUACGAAAGACCUAAAACAAUGGCCCCCGGCGUAAAGAGUGACCCAGAGACACCCUUAAAGUUAAAGAAAAACCACUCCAAAGUCGUAAAACACCAUGCUAGUGAGAACCCCAACAACAAAUGCCUUUAAACAAACGGGCCUUCGCCUCACGAAAGCUAAGAAACAAACUAGGAUUAGAUACCCUACUAUGCUUAGCCCUUAACAAAAAUAGCACGAAAACCAUGCUAUUCGCCAGAGAACUACAAGUGAAAAACUUAAAACUCCAAGGACUUGGCGGUGCUCCAUAUCGCCCUAGAGGAGCCUGUCCUAUAAUCGAUACCCCACGUUAAACCCUACCAUUUUUUGCAACCUCAGCCUAUAUACCGCCGUCGUCAGCCUACCUUAUGAAAGGAAAAAAGUAGGCGAAAUAGCCCGCACUAACACGUCAGGUCAAGGUGUAGCACAUAAAAUGGCAGAGAUGGGCUACAUUUUCUGAAACAGAAAAUACGAACAGCACAUUGAAACCCGUGCUUGAAGGCGGAUUUAGCCGUAAAACAAAUAAGCUUGUUUGUUUUAAUCCCGCUCUGGAGCGCGCACACACCGCCCGUCACCCUC